rnacentral:rRNA from 1 species
AACGAACGCUGGCGGCAUGCCUAACACAUGCAAGUCGAACGAGACCUUCGGGUCUAGUGGCGCACGGGUGCGUAACGCGUGGGAACCUGCCCUUAGGUUCGGAAUAACUCCCCGAAAGGGGUGCUAAUACCGGAUAAUGUCUUCGGACCAAAGAUUUAUCGCCUUUGGUUGGGCCCGCGUUGGAUUAGCUAGUUGGUAGGGUAAAAGCCUACCAAGGCGACGAUCCAUUGCUGGUCUGAGAGGAUGAUCAGCCACACUGGGACUGGGACACGGCCCAGACUCCUACGGGAGGCAGCAGUGGGGAAUAUUGGACAAUGGGCGAAAGCCUGAUCCAGCAAGGCCGCGUGAGUGAUGAAGGCCUUAGGGUUGUAAAGCUCUUUUACCCGGGAUGAUAAUGACAGUACCGGGAGAAUAAGCUCCGGCUAACUCCGU